GGGGUUAUAGCUCAGUUGGUUAGAGCGCUUCGUUGACAUCGAAGAGGCCAGCGGUUCGAGUCCGUUUAACCCCACCA
rnacentral:tRNA from 8 species